UACGAAGGGGGCGAGCGUUGUUCGGAAUUACUGGGCGUAAAGGGCGCGCAGGCGGCUCUGAAAGUCAGAUGUGAAAGCCCCGGGCUUAACCUGGGAACUGCAUUUGAUACUCUGGAGCUUGAGUACGGGAGAGGAUAGUGGAAUUCCCAGUGUAGAGGUGAAAUUCGUAGAUAUUAGGAAGAACACCAGUGGCGAAGGCGGCCAACUGGCCCGAUACUGACGCUCAUGUGCGGAAA
rnacentral:rRNA from 1 species